AGCGACAGGGAGGGAUGCGCGCCUGGGUGUAGUUGUGGGGGAGGAAGUGGCUAGCUCAGGGCUUCAGGGGACAGACAGGGAGAGAUGACUGAGUUAGAUGAGACGAGGGGGCGGGCUGGGGGUGCGAGAAGGAAGCUUGGCAAGGAGACUAGGUCUAGGGGGACCACAGUGGGGCAGGCUGCAUGGAAAAUAUCCGCAGGGUCCCCCAGGCAGAACAGCCACGCUCCAGGCCAGGCUGUCCCUACUGCCUGGUGGAGGGGGAACUUGACCUCUGGGAGGGCGCCGCUCUUGCAUAGCUGAGCGAGCCCGGGUGCGCUGGUCUGUGUGGAAGGAGGAAGGCAGGGAGAGGUAGAAGGGGUGGAGGAGUCAGGAGGAAUAGGCCGCAGCAGCCCUGGAAAUGAUCAGGAAGGCAGGCAGUGGGUGCAGGGCUGCAGGAGGGCCGGGAGGGCUAAUCUUCAACUUGUCCAUGCCAGCAGCCCCUUUUUUUCCAGACCAAGGGCUGUGAACCCGCCUGGGGAUGAGGCCUGGUCUUGUGGAACUGAACUUAGCUCGACGGGGCUGACCGCUCUGGCCCAGGGUGGUGGCAGUGCUCCUUUUGGACUUUUCUCUAGUGUUCCUCAUGGCGAGCAGAUGGAACCGGGAGACAUGGAGUCCCUGGCCAGUGUGAGUCCUAGCAUUGCAGGAGGGGAGACCCUGGAGGAGAGAGCCCGCCUCAAUUGAUGCCUGCAGAUUGAAUUUCCAGAGGCUUAGGAGGAGGAAGUUCUCCAAUGUUCUGUUUCCAGGCCUUGCUCAGGAAGCCCUGUAUUCAGGAGGCUACCAUUUAAAGUUUGCAGAUGAGCUUAUGGGGGGCAAUCUUAAAAAGUCCACAGCAGAUGCAUCCGGCUCGAGGGGCCAUCAGCUUUGAAUAAAUGCUUGUUCCAGAGCCCAUGAAUGCCAGCAGGCACCCCUCCUUUCCUGGGGUAAAGGUUUUCAGAUGCUGCAUCUUCUAAAUUGAGCCUCCGGUCAUACUAGUUUUGUGCUUGGAACCUUGCUUCAAGAAGAUCCCUAAGCUGU
ensembl:lncRNA NEAT1 nuclear paraspeckle assembly transcript 1